CCUACGGGAGGCAGCAGUGGGGAAUAUUGGACAAUGGGCGAAAGCCUGAUCCAGCCAUGCCGCGUGUGUGAAGAAGGCCUUCGGGUUGUAAAGCACUUUCAGUUGGGAAGAAAGCCUUGGGGCUAAUACCCUCGAGGAAGGACAUCACCCACAGAAGAAGCACCGGCUAACUCCGUGCCAGCAGCCGCGGUAAUACGGAGGGUGCGAGCGUUAAUCGGAAUUACUGGGCGUAAAGCGCGCGUAGGCGGUCUGAUAAGCCGGUUGUGAAAGCCCCGGGCUCAACCUGGGAACGGCAUCCGGAACUGUCAGGCUAGAGUGCAGGAGAGGAAGGUAGAAUUCCCGGUGUAGCGGUGAAAUGCGUAGAGAUCGGGAGGAAUACCAGUGGCGAAGGCGGCCUUCUGGACUGACACUGACGCUGAGGUGCGAAAGCGUGGGUAGCAAACAGGAUUAGAUACCCGGGUAGUC
rnacentral:rRNA from 1 species